UACGUAGGGGGCAAGCGUUGUCCGGAAUCAUUGGGCGUAAAGAGCGUGUAGGCGGCCAGAUAAGUCCGCUGUGAAAUCUCGAGGCUCAACUUCGAGCUGUCGGUGGAAACUGUCUGGCUAGAGUCCGUAAGAGGAGAAUGGAAUUCCUGGUGUAGCGGUGAAAUGCGCAGAUAUCAGGAAGAACACCCGUGGCGAAGGCGGUUCUCUGGGACGGUACUGACGCUGAGACGCGAAAGCGUGGGGAGCGAACAGG
rnacentral:rRNA from 1 species